CCUACGGGGGGCAGCAGUGGGGAAUAUUGGACAAUGGGGGGAACCCUGAUCCAGCCAUGCCGCGUGUGUGAAGAAGGCCCUCGGGUUGUAAAGCACUUUCAGUGAGGAAGAACGCCUGGUGGUUAAUACCCAUCAGGAAAGACAUCACUCACAGAAGAAGCACCGGCUAACUCCGUGCCAGCAGCCGCGGUAAUACGGAGGGUGCGAGCGUUAAUCGGAAUUACUGGGCGUAAAGCGCGCGUAGGUGGCUUGAUAAGCCGGUUGUGAAAGCCCCGGGCUCAACCUGGGAACGGCAGCCGGAGCUGUCAAGGUAGAGUGCAGGAGAGGAAGGUAGAGGGCCCGGUGGAGGGGUGAAAGGGGUAGAGAGCGGGAGGAAUACCAGUGGCGAAGGCGGCCUUCUGGACUGACACUGAGACUGAGGUGCGAAAGCGUGGGUAGCAAACAGGAUUAGAUACCCCAGUAGUC
rnacentral:rRNA from 1 species